GACGAACGCUGGCGGCGUGCUUAACACAUGCAAGUCGAACGCUGAAGCCCAGCUUGCUGGGUGGCUGAGUGGCGAACGGGUGAGUAACACGUGAGUAACCUGCCCCCUUCUUUGGGAUAACGCCCGGAAACGGGUGCUAAUACUGGAUAUUCACUGGCCUUCGCAUGGGGGUUGGUGGAAAGGUUUUUUCUGGUGGGGAAUGGGCCCGCGGCCUAUCAGCUUGUUGGUGGGGUGAUGGCGUACCAAGGCUUUGACGGGUAGCCGGCCUGAGAGGGUGACCGGUCAGAGUGGGACGGAAAAACGGCCCAGAGUUCUACGGGAGGCAGCAGUGGGGAAUAGUGCACGAUGGGCGAGAGCCUGAGGCAGCGGCGCGGCGUGAGAGAUGACGGCCUGCGGUGUGGAAACCUCUUUCGCACAUGGUCAAGCCGCAGCUUGGGGUUGUGGUGAGGGUAGUGGGUAAAGAAGCGCCGGCUAACUACGUG
rnacentral:rRNA from 1 species